rnacentral:ncRNA from 2 species
CUUACAAUUGCAACUGUUGGUGCUCGCUGCGCCUAGUCUGGCGCGGCGGUUAAACGGGAAGCAGGAGGGUUGCGGCCACAUGGUCCGAAGCCCAACCUGCGCUGCCCCCGCAACGGUAAGUGGACGGGCCUCGGCUUCAUUUUGAAGCCCGGCCCUGCUGUGUGCCCCUAUCAGCCACUGGAUGCCCUAUGGGUAACCGGGAAGGCGGCACCGGUCGUUUCCACCAGCCCGGAUACCGGCCAACAGGGUGGUUCGCGC